rnacentral:rRNA from 1 species
CGGCGAGUGAAGCGGCAACAGCUCAAAUUUGAAAUCUGGCCCUCGGGUCCGAGUUGUAAUUUGUAGAGGAUGCUUUUGGCGCGGUGCCUUCCGAGUUCCCUGGAACGGGACGCCUUAGAGGGUGAGAGCCCCGUACGGUUGGACACCAAGCCUCUGUAAAGCUCCUUCGACGAGUCGAGUAGUUUGGGAAUGCUGCUCUAAAUGGGAGGUAAAUUUCUUCUAAAGCUAAAUAUUGGCCAGAGACCGAUAGCGCACAAGUAGAGUGAUCGAAAGAUGAAAAGCACUUUGAAAAGAGGGUUAAACAGCACGUGAAAUUGUUGAAAGGGAAGCGUUUGCGACCAGACCUUUUCCUAGCGGAUCAUCCGGUGUUCUCACCGGUGCACUUCGCUAGGUUGAGGCCAGCAUCGGUUCUCGCAGGGGGACAAAGGCUUGGGGAACGUAGCUCCUUCGGGAGUGUUAUAGCCCCUCGCAGAAUACCCCUGUGGGGACCGAGGACCGCGCUUCGGCAAGGAUGCUGGCGUAAUGGUCGUCAACGACCCGUCUUGAAACACGGACCAAGGAGUCGAACAUUUAUGCGAGUGUUUGGGUGUUAAACCCUCACGCGUAAUGAAAGUGAACGGAGGUGAGAGCCCGCAAGGGCGCAUCAUCGACCGAUCCUGAUGUCUUCGGAUGGAUUUGAGUAAGAGCAUAACUGUUCGGACCCGAAAGAUGGUGAACUAUGCGUGGAUAGGGUGAAGCCAGAGGAAACUCUGGUGGAGGCUCGCAGCGGUUCUGACGUGCAAAUCGAUCGUCAAAUCUGCGCAUGGGGGCGAAAG